rnacentral:rRNA from 1 species
UCGCGAAAACUUCGCAAUGGGGGCAACCCCGACGAGGGAAUUCCAAGUGCCAGCACUUUGUGUUGGCUGUUCUCCUGUCUAAAAAACAGGAGGAGUAAGGGGCGGGUAAGACGGGUGCCAGCCGCCGCGGUAAUACCCGCGCCCCAAGUGGUGGUCGAUAUUAUUGAGCCUAAAACGUCCGUAGCCGGUCUUCUAAAUCCUUGGGUAAAUCGGGCAGCUUAACUGUCCGAAGUCCGGGGAGACUGGGAGACUUGGGACCGGGAGAGGUCAGAGGUACUUCUGGGGUAGGGGUAAAAUCCUGUAAUCCUGGAAGGACCACCGGUGGCGAAGGCGUCUGACUAGAACGGAUCCGACGGUGAGGGACGAAGCCCUGGGGCGCAAACGGG